GAUGAAGAACGUAGCGAAAUGCGAUACGUAGUGUGAAUUGCAGAAUUCCGUGAACCAUCGAAUCUUUGAACGCAUAUUGCGCCCAAGGCCUCGGCCGAGGGCAUGUCUGCCUCAGCGUCGUAAACUUCCCACUCGCCCCCCUCCCUUUUGGGAGCCGGCUCAGCCCUAGUGCUGGGCCUGGGAGCGGAUGUGGCUUUCCCACGCUCCGUGCGUGGGUUGGCUGAAAAGCAGAGGCUAGAGCAGGGACCCGUUAUGGGGCUCAACUGGAUAGGUAGUACCGGCUUCUGCCGCCUACACGAAGUUGUAGCUUGUGGACUUUGUUAGGGGCCAAGCAGGAAACAUGCUUGAUUGCAUGCUUAAACUUUCGACCUGAGCUCAGGCAAGGCUACCCGCUGAACUUAAGCAUAUCAAUAAGCGGAGGA
rnacentral:misc_RNA from 1 species